ACCGUCCAUCACUUCCCAGUUCCCAUCAAUAUUCCGUCGGCCUCAAUUUUGCCCUUUCCUCUCUCCCCGAAUCUCAAAUCUCGCUGGGACUCGAUCGCUACACCAAAAAAACAAGAAAAAAAAAAACCCUAAUCCAAAGAGACACCAUCGCUAUCACUUUGUUUCCGUCAAUCUCUCUACCAUCACCACGACCACAUUCUCUCCGUCUCAUUCUCUCGGAACUCAUGCUUGCGGAAGGAACAAAAUUGGGUUUUUCUCGGAGGUUUUCAGUAAUGUUUAUGCGAAAUUUGUUGCUUUACAACAGGAAGAAGACGAGCUAUUGGCUAUACCUUGUUUUUUGAGGUUGUGUUUCUGCUGAAAACAACUCAAUCCAGCAAGAUGAGUCGCUUAAUUGAGACCCUAGAAAAAUUAAUUUCAUGAAACUUUUUUUUUUUUUUUGUGUUCAGAUCUUUGAAACUCAUAUUGUGAUUGUUUGUUUUUAUCAUUUAGGUUGAGAGAAGCUUGAUCUUAGCUUUUGAAGUGGUGGUUGGUUCUAUCGGUAGUGUUAGUGGUGGAAGACUUAUACUAACCCUCAAGUGGAAGCUGAUGAUGAAAGACAUGGAUCCUACUCAAUUCCAUAAACAUAUGCUCAAGCGAAUGAAAUAUAUUCAAAUGUACAAUGACUAUUGGCUGGUGGUGCACACAUCGAAAGAGUUUGAAGCUUGGUCGGCUAGAAAAAUUGAGCAUAAGGAAACAUAGUCCAAGCAGUUCUUUGGUGGUGUUUGCAGAAAAGGAUCAUUGUCGUCUCAUGGAGCUGAACUCGAUAAUGACACCCCACAAGGAAGGAAACAAAUUGCAUUUUCUGUCUUGCCUGUUGAGCUCUGAUAGCUGUCACACUUGUUUGGAUUGAAAGCAAUAAAGGUUGAGAAUUGGGUUUUUGAAUCCACACUGCAUAAAUAUUUUUGCUGAUCCGAAUCUUUUUUGUUGGCACAUUUAACGGUAUAGGAAUAGCUUUCCCACUGGAAGCACACUUAUAACCAUAAUCAAGGUCUUGGCUGUAGCAUCUUUCAACAACUGCAGGAGUGCAAGAAAUGCAGUUGCAAGAGUGGCUUGUAGCCUAACUAUGCAACCAAAAGGCUCAACUGAUUGUCUAAUUAAAGUUUCUUAGCAGAGCAUUAACCAACAAACAUGCUCAUCCAGUACUAGAGUGCACCUUAGAACAGAUAGAACGGUAAAAAUAGUCUUCGGAGUCCGUUUCAGUUUUAAUAUUUGCUUUUACAGUCAUAUUUUGUUCCAUUUGCGAGAAGGAAUGCUAUGUUGGUUGCUUGAGGGACCAUGUGCAUCAUGUGUGAUAUGAGGGAAUUACCAAAGGUGUGAUGGCUUUGCAAUGAUGACUACUGUAUACUCAUUUGAAUUGCGGGCUAUCAGUAUGGCCUAGCUUCAAUAGGGAUAUAAAUGUUGUAAUGUUUGUAAUUGAAGUACAUCCCUGAGAGACAGAGUUUGCAGCUGAUUGUUCGAUUGUGAUUUCUGAUAAUCUUGAGGUUAUUGAAGGAACGCGUUGGUCGUAUGUUUGAUAGUUAGGAUGGAUUGAUGCUUUUCUGAGCACCGUAGUCAAUGCCCUACGUUGAUAGUGAAGGUGCCAGCUUCAAUGUUGAUUCUCACACUGCCGCAAAAGAUUAUUUCAUAUGUUGGUCCCGUGAUUUAAUGUAUUCUAAUCUAGUGUUUUUAUAUUUGAAUUGGCGGGUUCGAGUCUUCGUUUUAGUCUCGUUUCUUUUUGAUAUGUAUACUGUAAAGUUUUGGUGUUAUGCCAUUAAUAAAGUGAAACUUUCUAGCAA